AUUGAACGCUGGCGGCAUGCUUUACACAUGCAAGUCGAAUGGUAACAGGCCUUCGGGCGCUGACGAGUGGCGAACGGGUGAGUAAUGCAUCGGAACGUGCCCAGUCGUGGGGGAUAACGCAGCGAAAGCUGUGCUAAUACCGCAUACGAUCUGCGGAUGAAAGCGGGGGACCUUCGGGCCUCGCGCGAUUGGAGCGGCCGAUGUCAGAUUAGGUAGUUGGUGGGGUAAAGGCUCACCAAGCCAACGAUCUGUAGCUGGUCUGAGAGGACGACCAGCCACACUGGGACUGAGACACGGCCCAGACUCCUACGGGAGGCAGCAGUGGGGAAUUUUGGACAAUGGGCGCAAGCCUGAUCCAGCAAUGCCGCGUGCAGGAAGAAGGCCUUCGGGUUGUAAACUGCUUUUGUACGGAGCGAAAAGGCUCCCUCUAAUACAGGGGGCUCAUGACGGUACCGUAAGAAUAAGCACCGGCUAACUACGUGCCAGCCGCCGCAGUAAAAC
rnacentral:rRNA from 1 species